rnacentral:rRNA from 1 species
UACGGGGGGAGCAAGCGUUGUUCGGAUUUACUGGGCGUAAAGGGCGCGUAGGCGGCCAGCACAAGUCAGUUGUGAAAUCUCCGAGCUUAACUCGGAACGGUCAAGUGAUACUGUCGGACUAGAGUACAGAAGGGGCAACUGGAAUUCUCGGUGUAGCGGUGAAAUGCGUAGAUAUCGAGAGGAACACCUGCGGCGAAGGCGGGUUGCUGGGCUGAUACUGACGCUGAGGCGCGAAAGCCAGGGGAGCGAACGGGG